AGAGUUUGAUCCUGGCUUAGGAUGAACGCUAGCUACAGGCUUAACACAUGCAAGUCGAGGGGUAGCAGGGUAGCAAUACCGCUGACGACCGGCGCACGGGUGAGUAACACGUAUCCAACCUUCCCAUAACUCAGGGAUAGCCUUUCGAAAGAAAGAUUAAUACCUGAUAGUACUUUUUCAAGGCAUCUUGAGAAAGUUAAAGAUUUAUUGGUUAUGGAUGGGGAUGCGUUCCAUUAGAUAGUUGGUGAGGUAACGGCUCACCAAGUCUUCGAUGGAUAGGGGUUCUGAGAGGAAGGUCCCCCACAUUGGUACUGAGACACGGACCAAACUCCUACGGGAGGCAGCAGUGAGGAAUAUUGGUCAAUGGGCGAGAGCCUGAACCAGCCAAGUAGCGUGAAGGAUGAAGGUCCUAUGGAUUGUAAACUUCUUUUAUAGUAGAAUAAAGUGAUCCACGUGUGGAUUUUUGUAUGUAUACUAUGAAUAAGGAUCGGCUAACUCCGUGCCAGCAGCCGC
rnacentral:rRNA from 1 species